UUUUUUUUUUUUGAUGGAAAUGGAUGUUACUCCAGGAGCAAUGGGACGAGCGAGAGUUAAAUCGACCAAUGGGACGAGCGAGAGUUAAACUCCAAUACAAGUCCAACGGCUAGUCAACCGGGAGCAUAGCUCCGAUACAACUCGACAUGUCACAUCCCAGGACCCAUUCCGCCGUAACACGAUAUUAUCCGUUUUGGGCCCACCGGCCCUCACGGUUUUGUUUCCGGCAGCUCAGGAGCAGCUUCCCAGUAGGUCACCCAUCUUGGGAUUGCUCUAGCAUCAACAUGCUUAACCUCGGAGUACUCAUUCCCUCCGAAGCCGCUGAGCCACCAAAAAUCCUCGUGUUAGAUUGGAGGUGGGCAUGUACAUAUACAACACAUAACCCCUCUCCGUUUGGCCGAUGUGGGAUAUUACACGACAAGUCUACAAACGCUACAAAGAAAGACUAACUCAAAAACUAAUGUCCACAAGAGGACUUUACCCUGGCCUCCAAAGCUUUAACCUACAUAACCAAUCAAAAUAUCCCAGCUCAAUGAAUCGAGGUCUAAGACUAUUUCGGUGUACCUUUCCAUCAAAAAAAGAGGGGGGGGGGGGGGGGGGGGUGGGGGGUAAAUUCUUUAAUAAGGUUGUGUAGGGAUCGUUUUCCAGUCCCCAAAAGAGUCACCAAAGCCCAGAGCAAAUAAACUCACCCAAAUUUGAUUGAGGAGGGAGAGUGGAAAGACUUACAAAGCCCAAGCCACACCCACUGCCCUCAAACCAUGAAUUGGCCAGUCCUUGUUGGAGACCCAGCAAAACCAUCAAAAUUGGUACCGCGUCAGCCUCAGUCCGAUGGCCUACCCAGCCACAACCCCAUAUCUUCUAACAAGCGCUGCAGCUGAACCACAAGAGACCUCUUCCAAAUUCUUUGAAAAGCAACCUCCUCUAGAAGCCCAAAAACGAUGACGGGUCAGUCCACCGCCGCCCUUGCUCGAUUAAAACCUGGUCUCAGCUGCGAUUAUGCCGUCGCUGCUCUCCUUACCUAUCAAUCUAAACUUGUUCCGCGCCGAGAUGAGCUUGUGUAUCUCGAUUUAAGUAAUGAUACCGUAGGAACCAACCACCACCUCUCAACCUUGAAAAGCUCCAAACAACCCGGACCCCGACUUGUUCUACUCCGUCUCUUUCCGUUGAGAACCCGACGCCAAAGACGUCAUGUUGCAGUCGGGUCACCGUCGCUAUGCUCACGAGAACCUAGGAUUUCUAGGUUUCAGUGUUGGUAGCCGUAGAGAGAGAGAGAGAGAGAGAGAGAGAGAGAGAGAGAGAGAGAGAGAGAGAGAGAGAGAGAGAGAGAGNNNNNNNNNNNNNNNNNNNNAGAGAGAGAGAGAGAUUACAUAAAAUGAUUUAAAAAAAUACAUUUAAUUAACAUAAAUUAUAGAGAGCCUCAUCUCGCUAGUUAUAUUUAGCUACCAAAAUAGCUAAAAGUUAAAAUAGUUAGCCAUUUGCUUGUCUGGUAGAGCUGGUAAAAUUGAUAAAAAAUUAAACACACUCUUUAAAAUGGUUAAGGAGCCAAUAUAAAGAGUAAUAAAAAUGCUCUGAUAAUGUGUUUGUCUUAUCUUAUCUUUUGGUUCAAAAUUGGGCGUACUUUGAUUCAUGA
rnacentral:lncRNA from 1 species